UACGUAGGGGGCAAGCGUUGUCCGGAAUCAUUGGGCGUAAAGAGCGUGUAGGCGGUUCGGUAAGUCGGCUGUGAAAGUCCAGGGCUCAACCCUGGGAUGCCGGUCGAUACUGCCGGACUAGAGUUCGGAAGAGGCGAGUGGAAUUCCCGGUGUAGCGGUGAAAUGCGCAGAUAUCAUGAGGAAUACCAGAGGCGAAGGCGGCUACCUGGACAAUUGCUGACGCUCAGGCACGAAAGCGUGGGGAGCAAAAGGG
rnacentral:rRNA from 1 species